rnacentral:rRNA from 1 species
GGAUGAACGCUGGCGGCGUGCCUAAUACAUGCAAGUCGAGCGAACAGACGAGGAGCUUGCUCCUCUGACGUUAGCGGCGGACGGGUGAGUAACACGUGGAUAACCUACCUAUAAGACUGGGAUAACUUCGGGAAACCGGAGCUAAUACCGGAUAAUAUAUUGAACCGCAUGGUUCAAUAGUGAAAGACGGUUUGCUGUCACUUAUAGAUGGAUCCGCGCCGCAUUAGGUAGUUGGUAAGGUAACGGCUUACCAAGGCAACGAUGCGUAGCCGACCUGAGAGGGUGAUCGGCCACACUGGAACUGAGACACGGUCCAGACUCCUACGGGAGGCAGCAGUAGGGAAUCUUCCGCAAUGGGCGAAAGCCUGACGGAGCAACGCCGCGUGAGUGAUGAAGGUCUUCGGAUCGUAAAACUCUGUUAUUAGGGAAGAACAAAUGUGUAAGUAACUAUGCACGUCUUGACGGUACCUAAUCAGAAAGCCACGGCUAACUACGUG